rnacentral:rRNA from 1 species
GAUGAACGCUAGCGGCAGGCUUAACACAUGCAAGUCGAGGGGCAGCACAGGUGGCAACACCGGGUGGCGACCGGCGUAAGGGUGCGUAACACGUGAGCAACAUACCCGUAUCUGGAGGAUAACCGGAGGAAACUCUGCCUAAUACUCCAUAAUAUCAUCGUACGGCAUCGUUUGGUGAUUAAAGAUUUAUCGGACACGGAUUGGCUCGCGGGACAUUAGCUUGUUGGUGGGGUAACGGCUCACCAAGGCCACGAUGUCUAGGGGUUCUGAGAGGAAGGUCCCCCACACUGGAACUGAGACACGGUCCAGACUCCUACGGGAGGCAGCAGUGAGGAAUAUUGGACAAUGGUCGGAAGACUGAUCCAGCCAUGCCGCGUGAAGGUUACGGUCCUAUGGAUUUUAAACUUCUUUUGUAUGGAAGCAAUAAGGUGCACGUGUGCAUCGAUGAGAGUACCAUACGAAUAAGCAUCGGCUAACUCCGUGCCAGCAGCCGCGGUAAUACGGAGGAUGCAAGCGUUAUCCGGAUUUAUUGGGUUUAAAGGGUGCGUAGGCGGAUUAAUAAGUCAGCGGUGAAACUCACAGGCUCAACCUGUGCCGUGCCGUUGAAACUGUUUAUCUUGAAUGCGGAUGCUGUGGGAGGAAUGUGUAGUGUAGCGGUGAAAUGCAUAGAUAUUACACAGAACACCGAUUGCGAAGGCAUCUCACAAAGCCGUGAUUGACGCUGAGGCACGAAAGUGUGGGGAUCAAACAGGAUUAGAUACCCUGGUAGUCCACUACUGUAAACGAUGAUAACUCGCUGCCGGCGAUAUAUAGUCGGUGGCCCAGCGAAAGCGAUAAGUNAUCCACCUGGGGAGUACGACCGCAAGGUUGAAACUCAAAGGAAUUGACGGGGGCCCGCACAAGCGGAGGAACAUGUGGUUUAAUUCGAUGAUACGCGAGGAACCUUACCCGGGCUCGAACGGCAGAUGACGUAUACAGAGACGUAUAUUCUCUUCGGAGCGUCUGUCGAGGUGCUGCAUGGUUGUCGUCAGCUCGUGCCGUGAGGUGUCGGCUUAAGUGCCAUAACGAGCGCAACCCUUGUCGAUAGUUGCCAUCGGGUUAUGCCGGGGACUCUAUCGAGACUGCCUCCGUAAGGUGUGAGGAAGGGGGGGAUGACGUCAAAUCAGCACGGCCCUUACGUCCGGGGCGACACACGUGUUACAAUGGUGGUUACAGAGGGUCGCUCCCUGGUGACAGGCUGCCAAUCUCCAAAAGCCAUCUCAGUUCGGAUCGGAGUCUGCAACUCGACUCCGUGAAGUUGGAUUCGCUAGUAAUCGCACAUCAGCCACGGUGCGGUGAAUACGUUCCCGGGCCUUGUACACACCGCCCGUCAAGCCAUGGAAGUUGGGGGUGCCUGAAGUCCGUCACCGCGAGGAACGGCCUAGGGCAAAACUGAUAACUGGGGC